CUUUAACGUGCAGACCUUUGACGAGCUCAAUGCUCUCAGUGACCAAGUGUUCUCUUCUCUAUGUCCAGGUUUUAAAAGUGAAGCACAGACCCCGAGAACUACAGCGUCAGUGCCGAGAGUUACUGAUCCUCCUACCACAACCACCACUAC